CUACAAUGUUAUGGCAAUGUAAUGUUAUGAUCAUACAAUGUUAUGGCAAUGUAAUGUUAUGAUCAUACAAUGUUAUGGUAAUGUAAUGUUAUGAUCAUACAAUGUUAUGGCAAUGUAAUGUUAUGAUCAUACAAUGUUAUGGCAAUGUAAUGUUAUGAUCAUACAAUGUAAGGUAAUGUAAUGUUAUGAUCAUACAAUGUUAUGGUAAUGUAAUGUUAUGAUCAUACAAUGUUAUGGCA